UACGUAGGGUGCGAGCGUUAAUCGGAAUUACUGGGCGUAAAGCGUGCGCAGGCGGUUUUAUAAGCCAGAUGUGAAAGCCCCGGGCUCAACCUGGGAAUGGCAUUUGGGACUGUAAGGCUGGAGUAUGGCAGAGGAGACUAGAAUUCCUGGUGUAGCAGUGAAAUGCGUAGAUAUCAGGAGGAACACCGGUGGCGAAGGCGGGUCUCUGGGCCGAUACUGACGCUGAGGAGCGAAAGCGUGGGGAGCGAACAGG
rnacentral:rRNA from 1 species